CUUCUAAUAAAAGUGGAUAUGCUUGUGGUUAUUCCAUCUAUGCUGAAAGAAAAUGCAGUGCAAAGGGAACUGUCAUUAACUUUCAGCUCAUUUUGGCAGCUAAUGGUGGUGAAAACAGAUGGGCAUGAAGAUCGGACAGCAAAGCAGCUUUCCCCUUCAUUCAGUUUAAGUUCAUUGGUAAAAGAGCACCUCAGACUAACUUCCCAAGAGGUCCAUCAAGAGAAAGUCUGAGAACACAGCGUGGUGCACAGGGGGCAGCAGAUGGAGAUGUGUAACAGCUGUAUGCUUCAUGUGGGCUCUGCAGUGACACUGGAGGAGGCAGCUGCUGUCAAUACGUUGCCCAAGGAAUUUUCUCAUGAAGUCCCAUUUUCAUAUACUAUUGCUAUCCAUCAGUGCUGAGGAAAGAAAGCUGAAGGCCGUCGCUGACAGCAUCACUCUACCUGAUGAGAGAUUUCAAAACUAUGGACUCAAAAGAGAGUUUCCCACCCAGGAAGCAAUAUGUUGGAGUUGAAAUGGCUUACACGUACUGAGUCCACUUUAAUAGGAGUGAAUUAUCCCA
ensembl:lncRNA